rnacentral:rRNA from 1 species
AGAGUUUGAUCCUGGCUCAGAACGAACGCUGGCGGCAGGCCUAACACAUGCAAGUCGAACGCAUCCUUCGGGAUGAGUGGCAGACGGGUGAGGAACACGUGGGAACGUGCCCAUCGGAUCGGAAUAACCCAGGGAAACUUGGGCUAAGACCGGAUACGCCCUUUUGGGGAAAGAUUUAUCGCCGAUGGAUCGGCCCGCGUCUGAUUAGCUUGUUGGUGGGGUAACGGCCCACCAAGGCGACGAUCAGUAGCUGGUCUGAGAGGAUGAUCAGCCACACUGGGACUGAGACACGGCCCAGACUCCUACGGGAGGCAGCAGUGGGGAAUAUUGGACAAUGGGCGCAAGCCUGAUCCAGCCAUGCCGCGUGAGUGAUGAAGGCCCUAGGGUUGUAAAGCUCUUUCGCACGCGACGAUAAUGACGGUAGCGUGAGAAGAAGCCCCGGCUAACUUCGUGCCAGCAGCCGCGGUAAUACGAAGGGGGCUAGCGUUGUUCGGAAUCACUGGGCGUAAAGGGCGCGUAGGCGGCCGAUCAAGUCGGGGGUGAAAGCCUGUGGCUCAACCACAGAAUGGCCUUCGAUACUGUUUGGCUUGAGACCGGAAGAGGUCAGUGGAACUGCGAGUGUAGAGGUGAAAUUCGUAGAUAUUCGCAAGAACACCAGUGGCGAAGGCGGCUGACUGGUCCGGUUCUGACGCUGAGGCGCGAAAGCGUGGGGAGCAAACAGGAUUAGAUACCCCGGUAGUCC